GGAAUAUAAGAACCCGUCUCUUAACUUUUAACUAAAAAAAUUAAGAACCGGUUCUUAAAAGUCUUAUUUAAGAACGGUUCUUCGGCUUUUUUAGUUAAAAGUUAAGAGACGGGUUCUUAUAUUCU
rfam:Brassica oleracea var. oleracea cultivar TO1000 chromosome C7, whole genome shotgun sequence